rnacentral:rRNA from 1 species
CCUACGGGUGGCAGCAGUGAGGAAUAUUGGUCAAUGGACGAGAGUCUGAACCAGCCAAGUAGCGUGAAGGAUGACUGCCCUAUGGGUUGUAAACUUCUUUUAUAUGGGAAUAAAAUGUUCCACGUGUGGGAUUUUGUAUGUACCAUAUGAAUAAGGAUCGGCUAACUCCGUGCCAGCAGCCGCGGUAAUACGGAGGAUCCGAGCGUUAUCCGGAUUUAUUGGGUUUAAAGGGAGCGUAGGUGGAUUGUUAAGUCAGUUGUGAAAGUUUGCGGCUCAACCGUAAAAUUGCAGUUGAAACUGGCAGUCUUGAGUACAGUAGAGGUGAGCGGAAUUCGUGGUGUAGCGGUGAAAUGCUUAGAUAGCACGAAGAACUCCGAUUGCGAAGGCAGUUCACUGGACUGCAACUGACACUGAGGCUCGAAAGUGUGGGUAUCAAACAGGAUUAGAUACCCCAGUAGUC